CUGCAUGGCUGUCGUCAGCUCGUGUCGUGAGAUGUUGGGUUAAGUCCCGUAACGAGCGCAACCCUUGUCCUUAGUUACCAGCACGUUAUGGUGGGCACUCUAAGGAGACUGCCACCGUAAGGUGAGAGGAAGGUGGGGAUGACGUCAAAUCAGCACGGCCCUUAUGUCCAGGGCUACACACGUGUUACAAUGGCCGGUACAAAGGGCAGCUACUUCGCGAGAAGAUGCUAAUCUCGAAAGCCGGUCUCAGUUCGGAUCGAAGUCUGCAACCCGACUUCGUGAAGCUGGAUUCGCUAGUAAUCGCGCAUCAGCCAUGGCGCGGUGAAUACGUUCCCGGGCCUU
rnacentral:rRNA from 1 species